CAGUAACACGUGGAUAACCUACCCUCAGGAGGGGGAUAACCCGGGAAACUGGGGAUAAUACCCCAUAGAUCAGGGACGCUGGAAUGCCCCCUGAUUCAAAGGUCCGCCGCCUGAGGAUGGGUCUGCGGCCGAUUAGGUUGUUGUUGGGGUAACGGCCCAACAAGCCAUUGAUCGGUACGGGUUGUGAGAGCAAGAGCCCGGAGAUGGAUUCUGAGACACGAAUCCAGGCCCUACGGGGCGCAGCAGGCGCGAAAACUUUACAAUGCGAGAAAUCGUGAUAAGGGAACCCCGAGUGCCCGUAAAUUCGGGCUGUCCGCCAGUGUAAAUAACUGGUGAAGAAAGGGCCGGGCAAGACCGGUGCCAGCCGCCGCGGUAAUACCGGCGGCUCGAGUGGUGGCCACUAUUACUGGGCUUAAAGCGUCCGUAGCUGGAUUGUUAAGUCUCUUGGGAAAUCCACCGGCUCAACCGAUGGGCGUUCAGGAGAAACUGGCAAUCUAG
rnacentral:rRNA from 1 species